rnacentral:rRNA from 1 species
GGUUAAGUGACUAAGCGUAUACGGUGGAUGCCUUGGCAGUUAGAGGCGAUGAAGGACGUGUAAGUCUGCGAUAAGCUAUGGUGAGUUGACAAAACGCAUUUGAGCCAUAGAUUUCCGAAUGGGGAAACCCACACUUUUAGUGUAUCUGUAUGUGAAUACAUAGCAUGCAGAGGCGAACGAGGGGAACUGAAACAUCUAAGUACCCUUAGGAAAAGAAAUCAAUUGAGAUUCCCUUAGUAGCGGCGAGCGAACGGGGAGCAGCCGAUAAGCAAAGUAUUAGUGGAAUCUUCUGGAAAGUUGAGCGAUACAGGGUGAUAGCCCCGUACAUGAAGAUGCUUUGUUUACAUAUUAAGUAGGUCGGGACACGUGUUAUCCUGACUGAAGAUGGGGGGACCAUCCUCCAAGGCUAAAUACUCCUAACUGACCGAUAGUGAACCAGUACCGUGAGGGAAAGGCGAAAAGAACCCCUGUGAGGGGAGUGAAAUAGAACCUGAAACCGUAUACGUACAAGCAGUGGGAGCCUUUAGGGGUGACUGCGUACCUUUUGUAUAAUGGGUCAGCGACUUAUAUUUAGUAGCAAGGUUAACCGUUUAGGGGAGCCGUAGCGAAAGCGAGUGUUAACUGCGCGUUUAGUUGCUAGGUAUAGACCCGAAACCCGGUGAUCUAGCCAUGGGCAGGUUGAAGGUUGAGUAACAUCAACUGGAGGACCGAACUCACUAACGUUGAAAAGUUAGGAGAUGACCUGUGGCUGGGGGUGAAAGGCCAAUCAAACCGGGAGAUAGCUGGUUCUCCCCGAAAUCUAUUUAGGUAGAGCCUCGGACGAAUUCCAUUGGGGGUAGAGCACUGUUAAGGCUAGGGGGUCAUCCCGACUUACCAACCCUUUGCAAACUCCGAAUACCAAUGAGAACUAUCCGGGAGACACACGGCGGGUGCUAACGUCCGUCGUGAAGAGGGAAACAACCCAGACCGCCAGCUAAGGUCCCAAAAUAUUGCUAAGUGGGAAACGAUGUGGGAAGGCCCAGACAGCUAGGAGGUUGGCUUAGAAGCAGCCACCCUUUAAAGAAAGCGUAAUAGCUCACUAGUCGAGUCGGCCUGCGCGGAAGAUGUAACGGGGCUAAGCAAUAUACCGAAGCUGCGGCAAAGUACUUGUACUUUGGGUAGGGGAGCGUUCUGUAAGCCGCUGAAGCUGGACUGUGAAGUCUGGUGGAGGUAUCAGAAGUGCGAAUGCUGACAUGAGUAACGAUAAUGGGGGUGAAAAACCCCCACGCCGGAAGACCAAGGUUUCCUGUCCCAUGCUAAUCAGGGCAGGGUAAGUCGGCCCCUAAGGCGAGGCAGAAAUGCGUAGUCGAUGGGAAACGGGUUAAUAUUCCCGUACUUAUAUAAUCAGUGAUGGAGGGACGGAGAAGGCUAAACAAGCUUGGCGUUGGUUGUCCAAGUGAAAGUGAGUAGGCUGGAAUUUUAGGUAAAUCCGGAAUUCUAAGGCCGAGACACGAGACGAGCCACCAAGGUGGUGAAGUUGUUGAUGCCCUGCUUCCAGGAAAAGCUUCUAAACUUAUGAUUAUGUNNNNNNNNNNNNNNNNNNNNNNNNNNNNNNNNNNNNNNNNNNNNNNNNNNNNNNNNNNNNNNNNNNNNNNNNNNNNNNNNNNNNNNNNNNNNNNNNNNNNAACCGUACCCCAAACCGACACAGGUGGUCAGGUAGAGAAUACUAAGGCGCUUGAGAGAACUCGGGUGAAGGAACUCGGCAAAAUUGUACCGUAACUUCGGGAGAAGGUACGCCCCUGAUGGUGAACGCUUUACGCGGUAAGCUGUCGGGGGCCGCAGUGACCAGGUGGCUGGGACUGUUUAUUAAAAACACAGCACUCUGCAAACUCGAAAGAGGACGUAUAGGGUGUGACACCUGCCCGGUGCCGGAAGGUUAAUUGAUGGGGUUAUCUUCGGAGAAGCUCUUGAUCGAAGCCCCGGUAAACGGCGGCCGUAACUAUAACGGUCCUAAGGUAGCGAAAUUCCUUGUCGGGUAAGUUCCGACCUGCACGAAUGGUGUAACCAUGGCCACGCUGUCUCCACCCGAGACUCAGUGAAAUUGAAAUCGCAGUGAAGAUGCUGUGUACCCGCACCUAGACGGAAAGACCCCGUGAACCUUUACUACAGCUUGGCACUGAACAUUGAACCUACAUGUGUAGGAUAGGUGGGAGGCUUCGAAGCAUUGUCGCCAGAUGAUGUGGAGCCGUCCUUGAAAUACCACCCUUGUAUGUUUGAUGUUCUAACGUUGGCCCCUUAUCGGGGUUGCGGACAGUGUCUGGUGGGUAGUUUGACUGGGGCGGUCUCCUCCCAAAUAGUAACGGAGGAGCACGAAGGUUAGCUAAUCACGGUCGGACAUCGUGAGGUUAGUGCAAUGGCAUAAGCUAGCUUAACUGCGAGACAGACACGUCGAGCAGGUACGAAAGUAGGUCAUAGUGAUCCGGUGGUUCUGUAUGGAAGGGCCAUCGCUCAACGGAUAAAAGGUACUCCGGGGAUAACAGGCUGAUACCGCCCAAGAGUUCAUAUCGACGGCGGUGUUUGGCACCUCGAUGUCGGCUCAUCACAUCCUGGGGCUGAAGUCGGUCCCAAGGGUAUGGCUGUUCGCCAUUUAAAGUGGUACGCGAGCUGGGUUUAGAACGUCGUGAGACAGUUCGGUCCCUAUCUGGUGUGGGCGUUGGAUGAUUGAGGGGAGCUGCUCCUAGUACGAGAGGACCGGAGUGGACGAACCGCUGGUGUUCGGGUUGUUUUGCCAAAGGCAUUGCCCGGUAGCCAAGUUCGGAAUCGAUAACCGCUGAAAGCAUCUAAGCGGGAAGCGAGCCCCAAGAUGAGUCAUCCCUGAGCUUUAAGCUCUGGAAGGGUUGUUGUAGACUACAACGUUGAUAGGCAGGGUGUGGAAGCGUUGCAAGGCGUUAAGCUAACCUGUACUAAUUGCCCGAGAGGCUUAACCAU